GGGAUAUGAUGAGUGGUUAAAUCUCGCGUUUUUGAUGUGAGUGGGGUGUUCGCCCCAAGCCUGGUUACGACAACCUGGGCACCCUCCUAAUUUCCAAUCUGAUCCC